rnacentral:misc_RNA from 1 species
GAUGAAGAACGUAGCAAAAUGCGAUAAGUAAUGUGAAUUGCAGAAUUCAGUGAAUCAUCGAAUCUUUGAACGCACAUUGCGCCCGCCAGUAUUCUGGCGGGCAUGCCUGUUCGAGCGUCAUUUCAACCCUCAAGCACAGCUUGGUGUUGGGACUCGCGUUAAUUCGCGUUCCCCAAAUUGAUUGGCGGUCACGUCGAGCUUCCAUAGCGUAGUAGUAAAACCCUCGUCACUGGUAAUCGUCGCGGCCACGCCGUUAAACCCCAACUUCUGAAUGUUGACCUCGGAUCAGGUAGGAAUACCCGCUGAACUUAAGCAUAUCAAUAAGCGGAGGA